GAUGAACGCUGGCGGCGUGCCUAAUACAUGCAAGUCGAGCGAACGGACGAGAAGCUUGCUUCUCUGAUGUUAGCGGCGGACGGGUGAGUAACACGUGGAUAACCUACCUAUAAGACUGGGAUAACUUCGGGAAACCGGAUCUAAUACCGGAUAAUAUUUUGAACCGCAUGGUUCAAAAGUGAAAGACGGUCUUGCUGUCACUUAUAGCUGGAUCCGCGCUGCAUUAGCUAGUUGGUAAGGUAACGGCUUACCAAGGCAACGAUGCAUAGCCGACCUGAGAGGGUGAUCGGCCACACUGGAACUGGGACACGGUCCAGACUCCUACGGGAGGCAGCAGUAGGGAAUCUUCCGCAAUGGGCGAAAGCCUGACGGAGCAACGCCGCGUGAGUGAUGAAGGUCUUCGGAUCGUAAAACUCUGUUAUUAGGGAAGAACAUAUGUGGAAGUAACUGUGCACAUCUUGACGGUACCUAAUCAGAAAGCCACGGCUAACUACGUG
rnacentral:rRNA from 1 species